ACCAAACUCCAGUCCAGGCAGCCACCUGGCCCGAGGCUAGCCUGGCCUUGCUGCUUCCUUUAGCGGCUUCCAGGCUCCAGGAACAGGGGGUCUGGGCCACCUAGGGGCUCUGUCACAGCCACAGCCACCCCACAGGACCCCUGUCUCCCAUCUGAGAGGACAGCCCUCUUCCUGGAGCUGGGAUCUGGCGCUUGCUGACACCAACAGCGGAUACCAGGUCUUCAAGAUUUUCUCAUCACAUCUCCCCAGAGGAGCCACAACAUCGUCUCCUCCGAAAACAAAGCUAGAACCUUCACUGUAGACGCACCUGUGUUCUUCCCCCAAACCCAGUCCAGCUUAUCUCCAGAAAAACUAUAUGACUCGCCCUGGAGAAGAGAAAAAAAAGCCUCUCCCCACCAACUUCAUCCCACAAAUCACUGGAUUUGAGGCUGGAGACAGAAGAAUUGGCUGUGUACUUAAGUUUCACAUUGACUAUUGUUUUAUGUGAAUGUCUGAUAAGGAAAACACAAUGGCUGCCAGCUGGGGGCUGGGAGUGAGAUUUCCCACUUGGAGAAUUCUAGAAGACAUGCCUGGAGUUCUGGAGUCUGGAUCCUCUGGACAGACAGGUGGAGACACCAAAGCUUGUGGAAUCUUCAUAACAACAAUGAUUCAUUUGAUGGGUGAAGAAACUGAGGAACAGACAGCUGAAGCACCAUCAUCACAGACCUUCAAGGGGGACAGCCACAUCAUCAAACUGCCUCUGACAAUGGCCUCUGAUCUGUCCUCAAGCUGAUGCUAUUGGUGAAAGGGACUAGGCCUACAGUGCUAGGAAAAAUUAGGCUCAACUGGCACUUAAAAACAGUUAAGUAUUCCCCUGAUGGAAGAUUGCUGACAUCCCCCAUCUCCUCACUUGUCCUGUCUAGAGCACUUGAAGAUGCUGCUAUUCCAGGCCACCUCAGUCCACCCUUUCUCAUCCAUCCAUCCAUCCAUCCACUCAUUCAUCUUUUCAUCUACCCACCCAUCAUAUCAUUUGUCCAUCCAUCCUUCCCCUAACCACCUACCCAUCUAUUCAGCUACUUAUUCGUCCAUUUAUCACAUGCACCUACGUAUCUUUCCAUCCGUCUCAUCCAUCUACUUACCCAUCCACUCAUCACCCUCCACACAUGCCCAUCUACUCAUAACACCUUUUUGUUAAUCUGUCCACCAAUCUAUCCACCCAGCCAUCUCCCCAGUUACUCAUUCAUCUGCUUGUCUCAUCCAUCCAGGUAUUUCUCCAUCUGUUACAUGCAUGCAUCCCUCCACCCAUCUAUCACAUCCAUCCAUCACAUCACGUUCAUUCAUCAGUCCAUCCACCUAUCCACCCACCCAGACAUACAUUCAUUCAUCCAUCCACCUUCCCCUUCAUUCAUCCACUCAAUUAACCUUCAAUCAAGGUCUACAUGGGACCAAGCCCUGUCAAAGGCUGGAGUAUAACAAAAAGAAUUAGAUAGAAACAGAUCUUUUCUUCAAGGAGAUUCAAGGUACUUACAGAAACGAGAAACUACCAAAGAAGCAAAAUAAAUCACCAAGGGAAACUUGUCGAAAGGAAAAUAAGGGUAGAAAAGGAAUAAGGCCAGGAGUCAGGUUAGCGCACAGGUGUGCACACUUAGCAUCUCGUCCUCACAGUUGCUCAGGGUAGUCCCAAAUUGGCACUGAGCAAGACCCUGGCACUCAAGGCAGAACAACACAAGAGUCACAGUCCACUUCGUUGUGGUAGACACUCCCCAGAAUACCCUGUUCUCCUAUAACACGCUGGGGUUAUAUGUGCCCCAGGGUACAUUUGGCUUUCUGGAGACAUGUUUGGUUGGCACAGUUGAUGGGG